GACAGAGGAUGCAAGCGUUAUCCGGAAUGAUUGGGCGUAAAGCGUCUGUAGGUGGCUUUUUAAGUCCGCCGUCAAAUCCCAGGGCUCAACCCUGGACAGGCGGUGGAAACUACCAAGCUGGAGUACGGUAGGGGCAGAGGGAAUUUCCGGUGGAGCGGUGAAAUGCGUGAGAUAUUGGAAAAGACCACCAAUGGCGAAGGCACUCUACUGGGCCAUUACUGACACUGGAGAGAC
rnacentral:rRNA from 1 species